rnacentral:rRNA from 1 species
AUGGCUCAGGAUGAACGCUAGCUACAGGCUUAACACAUGCAAGUCGAGGGGCAGCAUUGGGAUAGCUUGCUAUUCAGAUGGCGACCGGCGCACGGGUGAGUAACGCGUAUCCAACCUUCCUGCCAGUAGGGAACAGCCCGGCGAAAGUCGGAUUAAUGCCCUAUGUUCUUCAAUGCGGACAUCUAAGUUGAAGGAAAGAUUCAUCGCUGGCAGAUGGGGAUGCGUCCGAUUAGCUUGCCGGCGGGGUAACGGCCCACCGGGGCGACGAUCGGUAGGGGUUCCGAGAGGAAGGUCCCCCACACUGGUACUGAGACACGGACCAGACUCCUACGGGAGGCAGCAGUGAGGAAUAUUGGUCAAUGGGCGUAAGCCUGAACCAGCCAAGUAGCGUGCAGGACGACGGCCCUACGGGUUGUAAACUGCUUUUAUGCGGGGAUAAAGUGCGGCACGUGUGCCGCUUUGCAGGUACCGCAUGAAUAAGGACCGGCUAAUUCCGUGCCAGCCGCCGC